CCACAGUGUGAUGCCUCAUCAUAUAUUUGAUUAGCAUUGAAAUUAUAACGUAAAAGAGUCGUAAAAUGACAGUGACAAUUUCAGUAUAGGUGCAUUUAAUAUCAUAAUUUUAAUCAGUAUAAAAAGAUGUUGUAGAGCAAGUUAAGGCUACAGAUAAGCAUUGAGUCACUUUCACAUUCGCUUGUAUAUGUAGAUGACUUUGUUGCAGUUAGGACAGCGGUGCUCCACAUCUUUGCAGGAAUCAACACAGAACGGG